GCGAAAGCACGACAAGGUUAAUCCGAGUGAUUUGUGCUUAACGAAUCUUUUGUUAGUCCUAGAAACACUAACGAAUAAGGGGUGGGCAAGUUCUGGUGUCAGCCGCCGCGGUAAAACCAGCACCUCAAGUGGUCAGGAUGAUUAUUGGGCCUAAAGCAUCCGUAGCCGGCUCUGUAAGUUUUCGGUUAAAUCUGUAUGCUCAACAUACAGGCUGCCGGGAAUACUGCAGAGUUAGGGAGUGGGAGAGGUAGACGGUACUCGGAAGGAAGUGUUAAAAUCCUUUGAUCUAUCGAUGACCACCUGUGGCGAAGGCGGUCUACCAGAACACGUCCCACGGCCAGGGAUGAAAGCUGGGGGAGCAAACCGGAUUAGAUACCCGGGUAGUCCCAGCUGUAAACUAUGCAAACUCAGUGAUGCAUUGGCUUGUGGCUAAUGCAGUGCUGCAGGGAAGCCGUUAAGUUUGCCGCCUGGGAAGUACGUACGCAAGUAUGAAA
rnacentral:rRNA from 1 species